UCUACCGCGAGGUGGAAUCUGAAGGAAGCCCGAAGCAAAGUGCUGAACUGAUGAACAAGAAGCGGCUAUAAGGCCGUGGACCCGUGGGCAAGGCUGCCGAACAAGCUGAAACCCCAUACUACUCGAAACGGGCCGCGGUAGAGCCGACAGUUACAUGGCAUGAAAGUCAACGUU
rfam:Lactobacillus shenzhenensis LY-73 genomic scaffold LY73.Scaffold1, whole genome shotgun sequence.